AUUUAGCUCGGAUUGCAGCGGCAUCCUUUUGGGUUGAGGACUCCCUUCGCUCCGUCUGCAAGCCAAAAGAUAUAGCGGAAAGCCGGAAAAAGC
rnacentral:sRNA from 1 species